rnacentral:rRNA from 1 species
UGGGGAAUCUUGCGCAAUGCGCGAAAGCGUGACGCAGCAACACCGCGUGGGGGAAGAAGGCCUUCGGGUUGUAAACCCCUUUCAGGAGGGACGAAGGCCGGCCGGUGAAUAGCCGUGCCGGUUGACGGUACCUCCACAAGAAGCCCCGGCUAACUACGUGCCAGCAGCCGCGGUAAUACGUAGGGGGCAAGCGUUGUCCGGAAUCAUUGGGCGUAAAGCGAGCGUAGGCGGCCCGAUAAGUCUGCUGUGAAAGUCAACGGCUCAACCGUUGAAAGCCGGUGGAUACUGUCGGGCUAGAGUUCGGAAGAGGCAAGUGGAAUUCCUGGUGUAGCGGUGGAAUGCGCAGAUAUCAGGAGGAACACCCAUAGCGAAGGCAGCUUGCUGGGACGAUACUGACGCUAAGGCUCGAAAGCGUGGGGAGCGAACAG